rnacentral:lncRNA from 1 species
GAAUGUAUUUUUCUACAGCUAUAUAUUAUGUACCAAAAGAAAAUAAAUAAAAAACCUAUCUUUGCUUCAAACCCUUAAAAAUGUCAAAAAUAGAAAACUGCGAGUCUUGUCGUCGAAGAGCGAGAGCUUGGCCGAUGCUAUAGCCAUGUUAUGGCCGGAGGCAAUAGGAGAUGAUGUGUCGGGGCUUCAAUCGCAGGCAGAGCAAAGGUUUGGAGAUGAAGAGAAGAUGACGUAAAAUCACUUUCCAUGGUAAUUCACAAAUGACAUCGGUUUUGAAGUAAGUAUAACGCCUCUUGAAAUAACACCGUAGUCGUCUUUUUGUGACGACAAACAAGUUAGAGAAGGCGUCGACCCUAUAUACAGGGCCGGUCCGGCGUAAUCGGGGGCCCGGGGCGAGAGUAUAAAUAUUCAGUAGUUCGGGGGUAAAAAAGAGUAAAAGAGUAAAAAAAAUUCACAUUUAUUUUUAAAAUAAAUUUAUAAAAAGAAAAAAGAAUAAAAGAGUAAAUUUUUUUUUUGAUAAAAGUAGAAAAUUAUUUUUUUUAAAACCAUAAAAUAAUUUUUACACAUAAAAAUACAUAAUACAUAUAUUAAAAAUUUAAAAUUUUGGGCCCCUUAUGAAAUUGGGCCCUGGGCGUGGGCCCUGCUCGCCCCACCCCAGGGCCGGCUCUGCCUAUAUAUGCCUACCUCUCGACUGCUUCAACCUCCCUCUCCGGUUUCGCAAGUUACCGCAACAAAUCAAUCUCUAGAGGAAUAGAAUAUGGAACGAGAAAGAAUGCGAGACGAUUCUGUGAUGCCUUCUGGAGCUUCAAAGCAAAAAAAGGCGAAAUCGGG